ACAUGCCUUUUUUUAAAAAAAUACUUUUAUUGGGCCUCUCAUAGUGGACCCAUGCCAGAGGAAGUUGCAGCCUCAAACCAUUGCCCAGCCUCCUCACCCUUGGGCUGUGAGCACUGAAGGGGGCUGUACAGUA